AAAUUCCUAAGCAGCGUUUUUAUAAUUUUUUUAUGUACCCAGGGGAGAUCACUAAGAUAUAUUUGUGGACCCGAAAGUAACUAAGACGUCGCAGGAAUAUGUUUUGACGGCUGCUCAAUGAUCAACAAGAUAGACUAGAGCGCCAUAGUCUAGAGGGUCUCUUCCACGUCUUAGUACUGAGAAGAGCGGUGCCAACCAGUCGGAGUAGGAGGCAGCUUCCACUAGAGGGCGGCGCUCGUGAGGUUGGCCCCCGUGUUCGACUGGGCCCUCGGCUGCCCGGUCCGGUUCAAGUUCACGUUGCCGACGGAGCUCCUCUAGUGCCCCACGCUGUCCCUGUGCACGUUCGGAACACUGAAGCUGGAGGUGGUCCGGACGUUGAUGUUUCUUCCCUGGUGCGACCUCGUGGUCGACGACGGGUUCUCGUUCAAGCACGAGGCGGAGCUCCGGGGGGGAAGGUUCGUCGCUACGUCGCGGACGCCGUGGGCGUGCGUCCCGUGGGUGAUGGUGACGCGUGCCUGCCCGGUAAUGGAGGUGGGCACGACGCGCUACGACGGAUACCUCUAGUUCGACUCACUACUCGAGUCGAAGCUCGAGGCGCUCUUCCCCAGAGCGGCGACGCGGUUCACGUCCCUUCCUCCGCCGCAGUCCCUGAUGACCAAGAUGACGAGGUUGAGGUUGAGGUUCUUUCACGUGGACGUACAGCGGACGCGCUCUCUCCUAAAAGAAGACGGCUCGAGUUCGUCAUGGCUCAGAGUGAGACUGCAGCCGCCAUUACCGUCCCGCUCGUUCCUCUGACGCAACGCCUUCAUGCCCAGCCCCUUCAGGCCCUACUUGGACCCGUGGUAUCCGCUGUAGCAAUUCCGGGACCGCCCGUAGCAGGAGCGCCACGAGUGACCUUUGGGCGACGGCAACUAAAGACGUCCCCAGCUAGACGAGAGGUCGCAGCGGUUCAACUUUUUCAUCGAUCGUCGAGGUAGGAACGAGUAGGAUGCGUGCAUGCAUGUUGAACAACCACUGCCCGACGUACCACUAUAUACACUGUAGGAUGAUAAACAUGCUAUAUCAGGGGCGGACGUAACACAUAAACACUAGCGAUGUCAGGUAAAGAGUAAAGAAGAAGGUACAGCUUAUUACAG
rnacentral:rRNA from 1 species